rnacentral:rRNA from 1 species
UUCUAAGGGCGGUGAAGUCAGACCGGAAGGACUGGUGGAGCGCUUAGAAGUGAGAAUGCCGGUAUGAGUAGCGAAAGAAGGGUGAGAAUCCCUUCCACCGAAUAUCUAAGGUUUCCUGAGGAAGGCUCGUCCGCUCAGGGUUAGUCGGGACCUAAGCCGAGGCCGAUAGGCGUAGGCGAUGGACAACAGGUAGAGAUUCCUGUACCAGUGCUAAUUGUUUAACCGAUGGGGUGACACAGAAGGAUAGGGAAUCGCACGAAUGGAAAUGUGCGUCCAAGCAGUGAGUGUGAGAAGUAGGCAAAUCCGCUUCUUGCGAAGCAUGAGCUGUGAUGGGGAAGGAAAUUAAGUACGGAAGUUCCUGAUUUCACGCUGUC